CGCGGCCUAUCAGCUUGUUGGUGAGGUAACGGCUCACCAAGGCAUCGACGGGUAGCUGGUCUGAGAGGACAAUCAGCCACACUGGGGCUGAGACACGGCCCAGACUCCUACGGGAGGCAGCAGUAGGGAAUCUUGCGCAAUGGGCGAAAGCCUGACGCAGCAACGCCGCGUGGGGGAUGAAUGCCUUCGGGUUGUAAACCCCUUUCAGCAGGGACGAAAAUGACGGUACCUGCAGAAGAAGCUCCGGCCAACUACGUGCCAGCAGCCGCGGUAAUACGUAGGGCGCAAGCGUUGCCCGGAUUUAUUGGGCGUAAAGGGCUCGUAGGCGGUUUGGUAAGUCGGGUGUGAAAACUCAGGGCUCAACUCUGAGACGCCACUCGAUACUGCCAUGACUAGAGUCCGGUAGGAGAGUGCGGAAUUCCUGGUGUAGCGGUGAAAUGCGCAGAUAUCAGGAGGAACACCAGCAGCGAAGGCAGCACUCUGGGCCGGUACUGACGCUGAGGAGCGAAAGCAUGGGGAGCAAACAGGAUUAGAUACCCUGGUAGUCCAUGCCGUAAACGUUGGGCACUAGGUAUGGGAUCAUAUCAACGGAUUCCGUGCCGUAGCUAACGCAUUAAGUGCCCCGCCUGGGGAGUACGG
rnacentral:rRNA from 1 species